GUUCAUCUCUUCUGUAUCAUCGACAGCCGUUUUCGAUUCAACCAGUCGUGUGUGUACACGGUGAUUUAACGCGCAUGCGCGGUUUUGAAAAGCAAUAUUUCUGCUGAUAUAUAUUAAAAUGUCGUCAAGAUCAACCCAUUACCGAAAGCGCCGUCAUUAUCUGGAAGAAGCAGAGCGUGAAUUCGAAGCCAAAUACAAUCGUAUGAAGGCUUCUGGAUCCUUUUGCCAUAUUGUGUAUUGUGUAUUGUGAGUGUUACAGUGCAGUGGAAAACCAUUCGUGAUCGCAUUGGAAACCAACGCAGAACCAGGCGGAUUGCUUACACGAGGCCAUUAGAGAAAUGAAAAUCGGGGCCCUAAGAAAGCCAUACGGGGGCCCCUAUCACUUUGGAAUACGUGUGAAUCCAGCGGGCAAGCGAACUCGGAAUCCCCAGCAGCUAAUUAGUCCGCGUAUUGUGAAACGGGCCGUGUAAAGCCGAUACUGAUACCUAUCCAUUUCGUAUCAAAAUAACCGAACGCUAUCGUGCCGGAGUUAACCGAUUUGACAAUAAACCUUGCCUAUACAAAAAAUG